rnacentral:rRNA from 1 species
GACGAACGCUGGCGGCGUGCUUAACACAUGCAAGUCGAACGGAAAGGCCCUGCUUUUGUGGGGUGCUCGAGUGGCGAACGGGUGAGUAACACGUGAGUAACCUGCCCUUGACUUUGGGAUAACUUCAGGAAACUGGGGCUAAUACCGGAUAGGAGCUCCUGCUGCAUGGUGGGGGUUGGAAAGUUUCGGCGGUUGGGGAUGGACUCGCGGCUUAUCAGCUUGUUGGUGGGGUAGUGGCUUACCAAGGCUUUGACGGGUAGCCGGCCUGAGAGGGUGACCGGCCACAUUGGGACUGAGAUACGGCCCAGACUCCUACGGGAGGCAGCAGUGGGGAAUAUUGCACAGUGGGCGGAAGCCUGAUGCAGCAACGCCGCGUGCGGGAUGACGGCCUUCGGGUUGUAAACCGCUUUCGCCUGUGACGAAGCGUGAGUGACGGUAAUGGGUAAAGAAGCACCGGCUAACUACGUGCCAGCAGCCGCGGUGAUACGUAGGGUGCGAGCGUUGUCCGGAUUUAUUGGGCGUAAAGGGCUCGUAGGUGGUUGAUCGCGUCGGAAGUGUAAUCUUGGGGCUUAACCCUGAGCGUGCUUUCGAUACGGGUUGACUUGAGGAAGGUAGGGGAGAAUGGAAUUCCUGGUGGAGCGGUGGAAUGCGCAGAUAUCAGGAGGAACACCAGUGGCGAAGGCGGUUCUCUGGGCCUUUCCUGACGCUGAGGAGCGAAAGCGUGGGGAGCGAACAGGCUUAGAUACCCUGGUAGUCCACGCUGUAAACGGUGGGUACUAGGUGUGGGGUCCAUUCCACGGGUUCCGUGCCGUAGCUAACGCUUUAAGUACCCCGCCUGGGGAGUACGGCCGCAAGGCUAAAACUCAAAGGAAUUGACGGGGCCCCGCACAAGCGGCGGAGCAUGCGGAUUAAUUCGAUGCAACGCGUAGAACCUUACCUGGGUUUGACAUGGAUCGGGAGUGCUCAGAGAUGGGUGUGCCUCUUUUGGGGUCGGUUCACAGGUGGUGCAUGGCUGUCGUCAGCUCGUGUCGUGAGAUGUUGGGUUAAGUCCCGCAACGAGCGCAACCCUUGUUCACUGUUGCCAGCACGUUAUGGUGGGGACUCAGUGGAGACCGCCGGGGUCAACUCGGAGGAAGGUGGGGAUGACGUCAAGUCAUCAUGCCCCUUAUGUCCAGGGCUUCACGCAUGCUACAAUGGCUGGUACAGAGAGUGGCGAGCCUGUGAGGGUGAGCGAAUCUCGGAAAGCCGGUCUCAGUUCGGAUUGGGGUCCGCAACUCGACCUCAUGAAGUCGGAGUCGCUAGUAAUCGCAGAUCAGCAACGCUGCGGUGAAUACGUUCCCGGG